rnacentral:rRNA from 1 species
CCCGCUGAACUUAAGCAUAUCAAUAAGCGGAGGAAAAGAAACCAACAGGGAUUACCCUAGUAACGGCGAGUGAAGCGGUAACAGCUCAAAUUUGAAAUCUGACCUUCACGGGUUCGAGUUGUAAUUUGUAGAGGAUGUUUCGGAUAAGGCUUUGGUUUAAGUUUCUUGGAACAGAACGUCAUAGAGGGUGAGAGUCCCGUCUAGAACCAAUAGCCGCGUCCAUGUGAAACUCCUUCGACGAGUCGAGUUGUUUGGGAAUGCAGCUCAAAAUGGGUGGUAAAUUUCAUCUAAAGCUAAAUAUUGGCCAGAGACCGAUAGCGCACAAGUAGAGUGAUCGAAAGAUGAAAAGCACUUUGAAAAGAGAGUUAAACAGUAUGUGAAAUUGUUGAAAGGGAAGCGCUUGCAACCAGACUUGAGCGCGGCGGUUCCCCCGGUCUUUUGGCCGGGCUACUCCGUCGUGUCCAGGCCAACAUCGGUUCUGAGGGUCGGUCAAAGGCCUUGGGAAUGUAUCUACCCACGGGUAGACUUAUAGACCAGGGUGUCAUGCGGCCUCUCGGGACCGAGGAACGCGCUUCGGCUCGGAUGUUGGCGUAAUGGUUGUCAGCGACCCGUCUUGAAACACGG